rnacentral:rRNA from 1 species
AGUGAACGCUGGCGGUAGGCCUAACACAUGCAAGUCGAACGGCAGCACAGUAAGAGCUUGCUCUUACGGGUGGCGAGUGGCGGACGGGUGAGGAAUACAUCGGAAUCUACUUUUUCGUGGGGGAUAACGUAGGGAAACUUACGCUAAUACCGCAUACGACCUACGGGUGAAAGCAGGGGAUCUUCGGACCUUGCGCGAUUGAAUGAGCCGAUGUCGGAUUAGCUAGUUGGCGGGGUAAAGGCCCACCAAGGCGACGAUCCGUAGCUGGUCUGAGAGGAUGAUCAGCCACACUGGAACUGAGACACAGUCCAGACUCCUACGGGAGGCAGCAGUGGGGAAUAUUGGACAAUGGGCGCAAGCCUGAUCCAGCCAUACCGCGUGGGUGAAGAAGGCCUUCGAGUUGUAAAGCCCUUUUGUUGGGAAAGAAAAGCAGCAGGUUAAUACCCCGCUGUUCUGACGGUACCCAAAGAAUAAGCACCGGCUAACUUCGUG